CUGCCUGUGCACGCUUCACUUUUUGCGCUUUUGCAAAGGGUGGUGCAACACCGCUGCUGUGAUGCAGCGCUGCCAGGUUUACAUGCGUAUGUGCAAAACAACAAGGGCAGGGCAGCAGGGAAACAACCCUCUUGCUACAAGCUAAUAUAACUCCAGAGCCGGCUACAGAUGCAGCCAGCUCUUCUGAGACCACGCUCAGCUCCUUGUCUUUGGUUGUAAUUUCACAAGUGUUGUCCCUUCAUGUGGUGCUGUAAAAUGCACAGAGCGAGGAACUUAACUAGUUGGAUUAACUAGGUUGGAUAAGUGGAUCAGGGCAGACUUGCUGAAGGAAUGCCGGUGUAAACACAGCCAGCUGCCUGCAGAUUGCUCUCUCUUGCUGGGACACUGCUGAGGAUGUUUAUCUGGGUGCUUGAGGAGGGUGGUAAGGUGAAGCAGUAAGCGUUGUGAUAGGAUAGAAGAAUAAAAUCAGAAGAGGAAAUGAAAGAAGAGAUGUAGGCAGAGGUAAAGCCUUUGGUAUUUUCUGUUCUGCUUUUUUUACGAUGUGAUAAAGGAGGGAGGGAGAAAUAUCCCUUAAAAUGGGUGAGCUGAAAACAAUGACAAUUAUUUCUACUGCUUCCCCUGUCUUUUCCCCUCCUGCAUCUAAGGGAGGGAAGGAUUAGUUAGCUAAUAUUUGCAUGGUGGUGAGGAAGCAGCAUUGGCUGUACAGCCCAAGUAUUAUUCUUUUUUUCUCUGUUACCACUUCCUAAGCAGCCAUUGCCAAAUGUGCUUGGACCCCAUACAGCACAAUCAGGUCUCAAUUGCACCACUCACGUGGCGGUUGGGAGGAAAGGCAAACAGUACUCUCUGAUGGAGUCAGACAACAUGGGGGUGAGGUGAAGAAUUGCGAUGAUCAAAGUGGAAGCUUGGAAAAGACCAAGCAGCCUGGAAUGGCAACGAUCUCAAACCAAAGGUGCAGAUGGCUUAGGGCAAGUGAAGCGGGUGUCUCACCUCCAUCUCCCAGACCUGGGUCUGCAGCUGAAGGCACCUAAUUUCCAGUUCCUCUGCUAUGGAUGAGUCAGGAUCAUCUGAAAAGGAAGGUACAGCCUUAAAGAAGGGCUAUAGAUAACCCGUGUCACGCAGCACAGAUGCCCCAGCAGUACCUGCCUGUACCGUAAGUGAACUUGAGCCCAUAUGACAUGGGAGCUGAACAUGAGCUCUGCAUGCUGGUCCCCGACAAGUCAACCUGCAGCAGUGUGAAGAAGAUGCUGCCAGACUAAAAGAUGGGUGUGAAUGAAACUGGUGAAGUUUUACGCUGCAGGAAGCUGAUGCGAGCGGUGCUGCUCACAGUUAUACAAUGACAAUUGCUUGGCUUACUCAGUCUUAAGGGACCUAUUAUAAAAAAGAGUGGAUGUCCACUAAAGCUGGAUCCAGAAACCUAAGCUGAAUGGCUAGAAGAAUGAAAAUGAGGUACAAAAUGUGUUUGUGGUUUUACAGGCAGAUUCUUGUUCUCUGCUCAGGAAAUGGUGAACUUACCGCAGCUUUGUGCCAACAAGGUAGUUUAGCCAUCGUGAAACGUGUCUGGGCUCAGCCAGAGAGCUGCUGGAUCCCAAGGAACUGAAUGGGGGGACAGAUCUUCAAAGCUGGGUUCGAUUUAGAGUUAGGCUGCCUUACAGGACAAGUCAGCCUGGAUCUGUAAUACUGUUCGAGACUCCAAGUAGAUUCUUGGUUUCACUUAGCUGUGAGUAGCUCUGGUUUUUUCCAGUCUGUUUGAACUCUGCAGUAUUUACCAUUCUUUUUUUCUGAUCAUCCUCAGUUAUCUGUGUGGCUGGUCUAUGCUCAUGGAAACUUAUUAACCCAUAAAAGAUAGGUCAGGAAAUAAUGUUUUGCACUGCAUCAGAAAAGCAGAGUAACAGAUAUGAGUAUAAAGUGCAGAUCUGCUUUGGCAAAGGGUACCACGUGUGGUGUAACUGAUACCACUCCCCAAAGAGGCUCUUGGGCUUUUAAGACCUGGAUGGCUCAGAGAGGAGGUCUCCACGCCUGCUCUGUUGCCGUACCAGGAGCUCUGUAACUCUCCCACAGGUAGGAGCAAAGUGCUAAGGGUAGAAUAAUUUUUACCUUCUCCUUUCUGAAGAGUCCUCAUCUUUUCUUCAAGCUCAGCAAUCUUCCUAUCCUUCAGGACCAGAACAAAUAAUGACCUUGUUUAGUUCCUUGGCCUUCAGGACCUUGAGGUACAGUUGGCAUAAUUAGUCCUGGCUGGGUGAGUCAGUGGUGCAAGCACCCUCACCCCACUCGGAGACAAAAAAAAUAAGGGUCAGAAAGGCUGUAUCACCUCACAAACACCUUAAUUAGACUCAAAUGAGGGGUGGAAUAUAAAUACACUGCUCCAAGAAUAGGUGAGAGACACGCUGACCUAUCUCCCUCUCCUUUAUCUGCACAAGAGCUGUAGGCAAAUGCACAGACUCCUGCCCCUGUGCUUCCUGCUCAGGCACAGCUCAUGCUCUGACCUGCAGUAAGUGGUUGAUCUAAAAAUGAAACCAGCAUCUCUGCAGUCUCCUCUUAAAAAAAAAAAAAGGGGGGGGGGUAUUUAUGCUAAAGCUGCAGUAAUGCAGAGAGGUCUGCUCUAGGAUGAAUCUGCUGUAUGAGCAGCUAUUGUUUCAAAAAGUGAAAGGAAGGAAGAAAAAAAAAAAAGUCUGAAGCCAGAGAACUAAUAACAUUAGGGACAGGGUGCUGAGAGUCAUUAUAUUGAGAAGUCACGGCACGGACUGUCCUCUCACCUGCCCCAAGGACUAAUAAUUGCUCUGUUGCUUUGCAAAGGCUUGUUUGUGUAAUUAAUGGAGCAGGCUAUGGAUUAACUUGUUUCAGCCCAAACUAGGUCUGAGCAGGUGUAAUGCUACUGUGGCAUCAACCAUCAAAGCAGGGCCCAGAACAGGUUCGGUAAGGGGCAGGAUUUUUACCUUCAGUUGGAUUUCUUGUGCUUGUUUCUCUAUUUUUUGUUCCAACAGAGUGAUUUUUUGCAUCAUGGAGGACAGGAGCUCUGCGUCGGUGCGAGCUGCGGCUGAAAGCACAAAUACGACGUGUUACCUCUCUAAAAUGGCGAUCGGUAUUGGAAGCUUAUCUGCGCCGUAGGGGACCCCACACAAGAAUUCCCGUUCUGCUGCAGCAGAUAGGACAAGGGUACUUUUGGGGGUACUCAAAGAAAUCCCUUGACUCCUGACUGGUAGGGAGAGAUGGUUGUGUCACCAACAGCACGCUGUGUAUGCGAAAGGGGGACCACAGGAAUUAGCCCUGGUGGUAUUGAGUCCACCAGACCAUGCCCAAGAAACUGUGAUGGCCCAGAAUCCCCUAAUCAUUGAGGGACUUUACCCUGCAUAUUCUUUUUCAGUGUUGUCCCCCUUGAGCAGGAGGAGAGACUGCCUUGCACUGGAUUCUUUGUCCUAGGAGACAGGCUGUCAUCUUCUGGGAAGAGGCACGAAGAGCAUGAAAGAAAGAAAACAGGUCAGCGUUUUGGAUAAGACUUCUCCAAAAGCAGCUUUUCCCUCACAGCAUUGCCAGCAAGCGUGACUUCCCCAAGUUGAUGGGGCUGGUGCGGAGGAGGGUGUGAUUGGUGAGACAGCCACUGCUGUGCUUGAAGCCUCCGAUUGCAGUUGCUGUGAGCAGAUGAGGAAGUGUCACGGCUCAUAGUGAGGUGAAUCCUGACCAUGCAGCUCCUCCAGCGUGCCCACCUGUUCCUCCUGCUCGCCCUCCUUCUCCUCUGCAUGCUCUUUAGCAAGGCAGAGGAGAGUGUGAGUACAACCAACUCCACUUACCCCACCCUUGUGAGAAGCCUGAGUUCCCCCUGUGGCAGCCCACCCCUCCUCUCCCUCACCCUGGGGCUGGCUGUGGCUUUCUUCCUGUGGCUGCGCUAACCCGGAGGGGACCAUCCCUGCGCCACCACACACCCCCCCCCAAGAAGACACCUCCAGGAUGGCAUUCCCUGCACCACCACCUCCUCGGACCCUUGCAGAGUGGAGGACCAGCCCGCAUCGCUCCCAUCGCUGCCUCCCUUUGCUCGGGUGUUGCCGUUUUCCUCGCUUUCCCACCUCAAAAUGAAACCCUGAACCUCCUUCGGCUCGAAGAAAAGCCGUGAGGCCUGUUCUGGGCCCCUGAGAAAUAAAAGCGCUGGGAUUAGA